AUCCAGCUGACGAGUCUCAAAUAGGACAACAUGCGCGUCCUACAU
rnacentral:hammerhead_ribozyme from 1 species